GGCAGUUUUUGGGUGAUGCACCCCAGAAUCGGACUCCUUCCCUCUGGUUCCUGGUGUGUCACCUGAGAUCUGCA
rfam:Myotis davidii contig316885, whole genome shotgun sequence.